AAUCCUGGCUCAGGAUGAACGCUAGCGACAGGCUUAACACAUGCAAGUCGAGGGGCAGCAUGAACUUAGCUUGCUAAGUUUGAUGGCGACCGGCGCACGGGUGAGUAACGCGUAUGCAACUUGCCUAUCAGAGGAGAAUAGCUCAUCGAAAGAUGAAUUAAUGCUCCAUGAAACAGGGGUUCCGCAUGGGAAUAUUUGUUAAAGAUUCAUCGCUGAUAGAUAGG
rnacentral:rRNA from 1 species